AUUUAUAUAAUAUAUUUAGUAUAUUUGACUUCCAAUCAAAAAGUUUAAAAUUUUUAAUAUAAAUA